AAGACUAUACUUUCAGGGAUCAUUUCUAUAGUUUCUGACUUGAGAAAUGUGUUUCUAAAGUGAUUGGUCUCGCUAACCACGAUGAUGAGUCGUGAUGUUCUUUUCUGAGCGUGAAGCGGAUGGGGAGUAAUGAUUCAUGUCAUAUGCUCUGUCAUUGAUGACCGUUUAUUACUUCCUUGUGGAGUAAUGAGGAAGGGAACAUGAUCAGAGUGGU